rnacentral:lncRNA from 1 species
GUGGGUUAUUUGUGGAGCUUGGUGGGGAUAUUUUCACAAGGAAUGCAGUCUGAAUUCUUGAUAUUGUAAAGUUAAACCACAAUCCAAACUAGAAGUUCAAUGCCUAGUGCUGACCACAAGAUAUGAGUGAUGUAAAUAGAUCAAACACACGCGCAAAGAUAAUUCAGAUUUGAUGCAAACAAGGAGUAUGCCUAGGAUGCAAGUGUUGCAAUCAAACCCAAGCAAAAUUUUGCACCAAAGAUGGAUAAUGACUGAUUGUGUGACUUGAUAUAAAAUUCAGAACUUGAGCACGUAAACAGAGUGAACUUUCUACUCUUUCUUCACAACUUUUCUUUCUCAACUCUUCUUUUUUUUCACUUUCCUUUUUUUUGAUACUUUGUUUUUUUAUAACUAAGAACAAGAGCAGAUAUAACACUUACACACACUUUUUUUUUGAAACAGGACACAACCGUCAGCGUUCUAACUUGAUAGGAUCAAAGUUUACGCGAAGGAUGAUAUCAGUUUCAGAUUUUCUUUAGGGAUUUGUAGAUAUAAAAGAGGCACAAAGGACACACAAAGGAUAUGAUGAUCAGCAACUAAACAAAACUCUAAUGGACUGAAACUUAACAAAACUCACAAGAAAAACAGAUUGAAACAAAGGGCUAAUGCAAUUUUUUUAUAGCUUUUUGUUGGAUAGGACGAACAAGAUAUAUAUAUGUAGCUAAGGGUAAAAAUCCUACCGUGGAAACUUGAGCUCUGAUACCAGAUGGUGAGGUCGUUGUCCCGAUCUUCACGACGUAGGAUGGAUAACUAGCUGAAGAUCAGCCGAUAACUUGCUGCAAGCAGCGAGGAUAACUAGUGCAACCUGACGACACGCACAAGGAGCCAACCACCGUCUCUAUACGGCAGCCUGAACCAAAGAUUCGCCCAACCACACUCUCAAAGAACCAACCUACGCAACCUGAACUCGAGGAUCAGGAGCACGAUUGGGUGCCGAUGACGCGGCCGCUUCUGUAAUCUCCGCGAAGGAAAACACAAGAGCAAAGGGGUAGAGAUCACUUUCUGAAUUUGUUAGAACGCAGCUGAACAAAGGGGUUCUGUAUUUCAAUUAUCAAAGUCUUGGAUUACAAUGAGUCUUAGGGGGUAUUUAUACUAGCAACAGCCCUGCUAGAUAGGUAUAAAAACGAAAUAGAGUUUCUGAGGGAAGGCAAUGUGA